rnacentral:lncRNA from 1 species
UCUUUUAUAGAACUAUUAUAUAGUAGUGAAUCAUAAAAUGAAAACAUGUAAAUAUUUUCUUUAAUAUAAGGUAAACUAGCUGCGCAAAUGCGCGGGUCACUUUGCUAGUUCAUCAUGCUACAUAAGCAUAUUAUUUGUUACAUACGAUAGUUGCAGCAUAAUUUUUAUCAACAUUCUUUUUGUCAAAAACAAACUAUUAAACGGGGUAGGGUCCAUAGAACCCUGCAGUAAAUCCCUCCUUGUUGCAUGCCUCAACACAUGGAUCCACCUUGCAUAAUAUUAGUCUGGUAGGUCCUGCUAUGUACAAUGCAGGUCUUGGCUUCCGACCCUAUGAAACAAUCACAUGAUAUGGUGCACUCACAAAAUUAGAUUCUACAAUCUUCCAUGAAGAAACAAGAAAGAAAGAAGUAGCAUGGAGUAUAAAUAUCAGAUAUGACCGGGAAAUGUAAAAGAUUGCAUGAAGGAAGUGCCUUGUUCUUCAUGUGUAAUUUUCAAAUAAUUUUUACCAGGAACUAAAACAAGUGGCAUGAGCAGUAGCAUGCAUAAUAGGCUUGGC